GUGGGGAAUAUUGGACAAUGGGGGGAACCCUGAUCCAGCCAUGCCGCGUGUGUGAAGAAGGCCUUUUGGUUGUAAAGCACUUUAAGCGAGGAGGAGGCUACCGAGAUUAAUACUCUUGGAUAGUGGACGUUACUCGCAGAAUAAGCACCGGCUAACUCUGUGCCAGCAGCCGCGGUAAUACAGAGGGUGCAAGCGUUAAUCGGAUUUACUGGGCGUAAAGCGCGCGUAGGUGGCCAAUUAAGUCAAAUGUGAAAUCCCCGAGCUUAACUUGGGAAUUGCAUUCGAUACUGGUUGGCUAGAGUAUGGGAGAGGAUGGUAGAAUUCCAGGUGUAGCGGUGAAAUGCGUAGAGAUCUGGAGGAAUACCGAUGGCGAAGGCAGCCAUCUGGCCUAAUACUGACACUGAGGUGCGAAAGCAUGGGGAGCAAACAGGAUUAGAUACCCUGGUAGUC
rnacentral:rRNA from 1 species